GUUUGAUGCAAUCCAGAGUCCAUCAACAGCCAUGAAAGACCUUGAUGACAGAACGUGUAGGAGCUCUGGGUCAAAAUCACGAGGAAAAGGACGAAAGAAUAACCCUUCACUUCCACUUGACAGCGAUUUGGAGGAGUAAUAGUAUGAAUGUCUUGGUUACAACUACACAGCUCAUCCCAGCACUUUCAAAGGUUUUGCUAUAUAGUUUAGGAGGUGUAUUCCCAUUGAGAAUAUAUACAGUGCUACUAAAGUAGGAAAAGAAAGUUGCUUUGAACGAAUAAUACAAAGGUUUGGCAGAAAAGUAGUAUAUGUUGUAAUUGGGGAUGGUGUAGAAGAAGAACAGGCAGCAAAAAACGUAAAGCAACUUAUGAAACAUUGGUGUGACAUACAGUAUUUCCUGGAUAUGUUAAUAUAGGAACAGCAUUUCACUGUCACUUUUACCAAACAGCUUUGAUGACUAUUGAAGCACAGUGAUGGGCGAAC